UGGGUAGCCAAGCCGCGAGGCGGAGCCAAUCCUGAAAGCAGGCCUCAGUUCAGAUUGCAGUCUGCAACUCGACUGCAUGAAGCCGGAGUUGCUAGUAACCGCAGGUCAGCAAUACUGCGUUGAAUACGUUCCCGGGGCUU
rnacentral:rRNA from 1 species